CAGCCGCCGCGGUAAUACGUAGGGUGCGAGCGUUAAUCGGAAUUACUGGGCGUAAAGCGUGCGCAGGCGGUUUUGUAAGACAGGCGUGAAAUCCCCGGGCUCAACCUGGGAAUGGCGCUUGUGACUGCAAAGCUAGAGUGCGGCAGAGGGGGAUGGAAUUCCGCGUGUAGCAGUGAAAUGCGUAGAUAUGCGGAGGAACACCGAUGGCGAAAGCAAUCCCCUGGGCCUGCACUGACGCUCAUGCACGAAAGCGUGGGGAGCAAACAGGAUUAGAUACCCCGGUAGUCCCUGUCUCUUAUAC
rnacentral:rRNA from 1 species